rnacentral:rRNA from 1 species
GACGUAGGGCGCGAGCGUUGUCCGGAUUUAUUGGGCGUAAAGAGCUCGUAGGCGGCUUGUCGCGUCGUUCGUGAAAACUUGGGGCUCAACCCCAAGCUUGCGGUCGAUACGGGCAGGCUAGAGUUCGGUAGGGGAGACUGGAAUUCCUGGUGUAGCGGUGAAAUGCGCAGAUAUCAGGAGGAACACCGGUGGCGAAGGCGGGUCUCUGGGCCGAUACUGACGCUGAGGUGCGAAAGCGUGGGGAGCAAACAGG